rnacentral:rRNA from 1 species
GGAAUAUAGGGCAAUGGGCGCAAGCCUGACCCAGCGACGCCGCGUGAGGGAUGAAGGCCUUCGGGUUGUAAACCUCUUUCAGUAGGGAAGAAGCGAAAGUGACGGUACCUAAAGAAGAAGCACCGGCUAACUAUGUGCCAGCAGCCGCGGUAAUACAUAGGGUGCAAGCGUUGUCCGGAAUUAUUGGGCGUAAAGAGCUCGUAGGUCGUUUGCCGCGUCGAUUGUGAAAAUCUGAGGCUCAACCUCAGACCUGCAGUCGAUACGGGCAAACUAGAGUGUGGUAGGGGAGACUGGAAUUCCUGGUGUAGCGGUGGAAUGCGCAGAUAUCAGGAGGAACACCAAUGGCGAAGGCAGGUCUCUGGGCCAUAACUGACACUGAGGAGCGAAAGCGCGGGGAGCGAACAGGAUUAGAUACCCUGGUAGUCCGCGCCGUAAACGAUGGGCACUAGCUGUGAGAGCCUUCCACGGUUCUCGCGACGCAGCAAACGCAUUAAGUGCCCCGCCUGGGGAGUACGAUCGCAAGAUUAAAACUCAAAGGAAUUGACGG